GAGUAAUUUCUCACCCCAUACAAAGGGUAUUUGCAACCUAUUUUAUUUGUUCUUUACCACAGCUUUGUGAUUUUUGGCACAUUUUUUCCCCUUUUUUUUCUUUUGCUAAGAAAAAUGAAGUUCAGAGAGAUUAAGUGACCGGUGCAAGAUUGCCCAGCCAGUGAGCGUGGAUUCAACACUGCUUAUGGUAAAUCUGGAGUCUUCUCUGUGACGUCUGCCAAACACCUGGUUAUGCAUCCUUCCUUGUCAUUCCUCAAGUGAAAAAUGAAGACCAGAAGUGUUCCUGAAGUGAGGAAUCAGAUGACACUAAGGAUCAUGUGAAAGCUCUCCCUGAGGAAAGAUUAAGAAGAGAUGAGUUAAAGCUGCAAAUACCAAGAUUUAAGGUUAAGUAUGAAGAAUUUCCUGAUACAGAAACUUCUUUAGCACUGGACUUGAAUAUCAAGACUCUUUCCCCAACAUUGACCUCCAAACAAACUUUGCUGGGUUGUUCAAACCGCUUUGUUUCCUGUAAGUGUUCAUUGAUCUCUGUGAGUGGAUGAUGGUUGAUUACACACUUUGUCCGUGAUUAAACUAGGAAACUUCUUUUCAAAAGAUUCAGUAUAAUUUCUCUUUCCAUGGAUAUAUGCAAUUAUAUAGUGAUUUUAACCUAUAUAGACCAAGAUAAUUUUGUGAUCCAAAUGGUCAGGUGUCAUAUUUAAAAAAUAUAUGCAUAUAGUUUAAAGCAAUUAAAUAUCCUUACUCGGUUUCUUAGGCGGAUAUGUAAGAGUAGCAGCUGGUCCUGAGGGUCCAUCUUCUAUGGCUCUUUCACGUGUCUGUGUGUUUUGUGAAGCAAAGCAUCGACUUCCCCUUGUUCUAAACUAUCUUUUGAACGAUGCUUGUAUAGUAUAAUUAACAGCUUUGGACAAUAGAGAUUGUAUCUCCCUCUGGAACAGGGGUGUCUGAUCUUUUGGCUUCCCUGGGCCACAUUGGAAGAAGAAUUGUCUUGUGCCACAUAUAAAACAUACUCACUAUAGCUGAUGAGCUAAAAAAAAAAUCGCAAAAAACCCUUAUAAUGUUUUAAGAAAGUUUACCAAUUUGUGUUGGGUUGCAUUCAAAGCCAUUCUAGUCCACGUGCAGCCCGUGGGCUGCAGGUUGGACAAGCUUGCUCUAAAACAAAGGGCAGAUUUUCUUAUUGUUUUGUGUGGUAGGCAGUAUAAUGGCUCCCCGAAGAUGUCCAGAGCUUAAUCCCAGGAACCUGUGAAUAUGUUACCUUGCAUAACAAAUGAAAAUUUAUGUUACAGAUGAAAUUAAGAACGCUGAUCAGCUAAAGGACCUUCACAUACAAAGGUUAUCCUGGGUUAUUCAGGUGGGCUCAGUGUAAUCACAGGCAUCCUUUAAAGUGGAAGAGUGAGUUCAGCGUGAUGUGAUGUGAAAAGGACUCAAUUUGCCUUUGCUAGUUUUGAAGAUGGAAGAAUGGGGCUAUGGUCCAAGGCAUGCUGGUGACCUCUAGAAGCUAAAACAUUAACAAAAUGGAAAAGAAAUUUUAGUGCAGUGAGGCCC
rnacentral:lncRNA from 1 species